UGGCUCAGUUGGUAGAGCAUGGUGUUUGCAAUGCCAGGGUUGUAGGUUCGAUUCCUAC
rnacentral:tRNA from 1 species